CUCCAUUCUAUUUUUUCAGGUUUUAUGCAGCAGAAAUAGUGAGUGGACUUCAGUAUUUGCAUUCACAGGGCAUAGUGUACAGAGAUUUGAAAUUAGACAAUGUCAUGCUAGACCGUGACGGCCACAUCAAAAUCGCUGACUUUGGGAUGUGCAAAGAGGCUGUAUUCAACGAUAACAAGGCGACGACUUUCUGUGGCACACCAGAUUACAUUGCUCCGGAGAUCCUGAAGGGAUGGCGAUACAACGCGUCUGUUGAUUGGUGGUCCUUCGGUGUCCUCCU